AUGCUCCAGCAAACGCUGCGCUCCUCCUGCCGUCUCCUCACAGCGCCUGCGGCUCCGCUCCCCUCGCUGUAUCCAUCAGCUCCCUGUCUCCAUCCCCUCCCUGUCUCCAUCCCCUCCCUGAAUCCAUCCCAGCCGCCCGCCAAGGCACCUUCUGCUGCAUCAGCAGAGCCGUGCACGCCGCUCCCGCAGCGCCGGCUGCCAGCGCUGCCUAGCCCGCUCCGCCUGUACUUUUCCUGCCUCUCUUGCCAGCUCUGCAGCCCUAACGCCUCAGCCCACAGGCACUGCUGGCAUCCUCUCAGGCUCCCCUGGGAUGUCCCCGUGCCCUGCAAAGCCUCCUGCUUUCCCUCCUCCCUGCUGCUUCAUGCUGCUGCAAAGGAGGCUGGAUGGGGAGGGGGAGCCUCAUCGUGCCCUGAAGGUGACAGGUCGUGGCACCUUGGACAUGCAGGCAGCAUCCCUGCAGGUGAGCUGCUCUCACACCCAAAAUCCAAUCAAUCCACUUCGAGGAAGCCAUGCCCGGUCCCUGGGGCGAGCUUUGGCAGGACGUAUGCCCCGUGUCACUGCAGGCCAGAGAAAAAGUCAGCGCCGUGCCUGCUCCGGGAGUGUGGCAGUGCCUCCUCCCCUUCCCGCCGUGCCUGUUUUGGGAUGCGUCACCUCCCGCAAACGCUGUUCCCUGCGCAGGGCUCGCUGUCUAAUGGACCUGGGCACGAAGGUGAAGCUCUGCCUGCCCACACCACGCCCCGCGGGCUUACAUUAGGAGGGCCCCCACCGCCGCCGUCGGGAUGCGGUGUGCCGAGGGCAGGCCUAAUGGAUGCGACGGCGAGGGAAAGGCUGCUGAGACAUGAACUUUUGUGCAGCCAAUUAUCCCGGAACAAGCUCACGGUGAGAAAAGUAAGUUCUCAGAGCGUUCCCUCUGGCGCCGGGCGGGUCCCUCUGCAGCCAUCGGGGUCUGGCUCUGCAUCCCCACCCGUGUCUGCUGUCUGCCUUGGGGAUGGAGGGCAGGGACACCCGGUGUCACACUGCAGAGGUGCCCCGAAUGAGAGCUGA
rnacentral:lncRNA from 13 species